GGAUGUGAGGGUGAUCUGGCUGGGACCUCAGUCACCCCACUGACCUCCAGGGUUGACUUGGCUGAUCUGGCUGGCUAGGUGGGUGCCCUCUUCCUCCCUCGCCGCUCCAUGUGUGUCCCUCUGGAAACUGAGCUUGGUGAAAGAAGGCAACCAUCCCUGACAGAGGAGGACUUUUCCUUGGUCAAGGUUAUAUGAGUACCCAUACUCCCCAGCUAGAACCUCCAAAUAAGCUCUCAAGAUAUGACCAGCUGAUUGACUUAGCAUAGUUCUGGGGAGUGAAUGAGGACUUUAGAAGAGGGAAGACCUACCCUGUCUGUGAGU
ensembl:misc_RNA 7SK 7SK RNA